CUCCCCCCCAAAUCACAGGCGUCGAACACCGUCUCCCGUCUCUGUGGAGAGAGAAAAGAGGAGCGGAAGAGGGGAGAAAGAGAGAGACCAGCCGAUGAGUUCAGCUGCUUGCAUCUCCUUGGGGCCAACCCCUCUGUCCCACCUCAAGAAUGCGGAGAAAGGCGCCGCCUUUAGCCUCGCUUCCGUCAGGGGAGCGGGAUUCAGGCCUUCCCCCAAUGCCCUCUUCCUCAGAAUCCCUGCGCGUCCGUCGAGGAGGAAGCCCUCCCCUAGGCGGACCGCCGUCAGACCUUUCUCCCCUGUCAUGGAGUGGCAGGAUUGCAGCUCUGAGAUCGAAGUCGAUGUUCCAUGUUCAGUAGCUUACGACUGUUACUCUGAUCGCGAGAUGAUCCCAAAAUGGAUGCCAUUUAUAUCUUCUGUAAAGGUUCUACAGGAUAAGCCUGACCUCUCACGCUGGGCACUGAAGUAUGAGGUGUUUGGUCGUGACGUUGAAUUUUCUUGGCUUGCCCGAAAUUUGCAACCCAUUCCUAAUCAGAAGAUACAUUGGCGAUCUUUGGAAGGUCUUCCUAAUAGAGGCGCAGUCAGAUUUUUCCCCAAAGGCCCAUCCUCUUGCAGAAUACAAUUGACAGUUUCGUAUGAAAUCCCUGAAAUUUUAAUUCCAGUUGCGUCAGCGCUUAAACCAUUCCUUGAAGGAUUACUUGCACAAGGCUUGGAACGAUUUGCAAAAGUUGCAAAAGAGUAUCAGAGAAAGAUUCCCCAAAGAUAACCUACAGGCAAACUUUAUUAAUUGCCACAUGUCCAAAUAACAAUGAGGCGCUAAGGUAUCAGUCAAGAUUCUUUAGGGAUAUGCAUUAUCCUUUGAUAUUAUAGCUGGGAUGAACUUUUUAUUUUCCUGAAUAUUUAAACCAAUAUAUGUCUGAUGGUGAAGGUGAUUCAUGAAACAAGAUCAGUUUGGUUUUGUACACUUGUCCACCCAAAUGCUUUGAUACAACCAUAUGAUUUCUACUUUCCUUCAUUUUGUGUUCUUCUGUUGCUGUACUUGUGUAGAAUACCCAGUACAUGUAAACUUUCUUUUAAUUGGUGAGAUUUUAGCAGCAUUAAAAAUGAUAAUAUGUUAAAUUCCAAUAA